UUCAAAUCAAACGAUUCACUAGAGGACACGCAAGUUUCAACAUGGGCAGGACCUUUUUCUUGGUUUUUCUUCUCGUCUCCUGCAUGGCUUUAACAGCUGAAGCUCGCUGGGGACAAAGUUGUCCGUGGGGUACCUUCCCGACUGGGGCUUCUUGUCACAUCUGGCAAGGAUGCAGGUUCGGCUACUGUUACGCUCCAUGGGGAAAGUGGGGCGUUUGUUGUAAGAGACGCGGAAUAUACUGAGUCCUCCAGGGAUCACCAGCUUGUUUAACUUGUUAAAGGGUUAGAAAAUAAAAGAAAAUGGUAUUAA